AUCUACAAGAAGACUGAUUUUUUUUCAAUCUUGUUAUGCUCCAGAUUGAAUCCAGAUACUGGAACUAUAAGCCAUCCUGCUUAAUUUUGACUCAACAGAAAAGCUGCUAUCAUGGUUCUGUGUAUUGGAAAUUUUGGGCAUUUUUUAUCUGGACACUUAUGUCAGCUGCUAUACUGUCACCAUGCUACCCCUGCACAUUAGGGAGCAGAUUUUCAGAAUGUGAAUAUUCAAGCAAAUAGAAAGAAUGAAUCAGCCACUUUCCUGGAAUCUGAUGUUAUGCCACAGGGGUGCAGAAUUUGAUGGCAUUAAACAAACAGUGACAAAAGAAACACAGCGCCUUUAUAAUGCUCAUCACUGUGCCAGCUAUUCAGGUCCUGGCAAAAGGCUCUUGUCACCAACCCAUGAAAUUCAUGAACAUUCAUCCCUGCCUUCACUGAGUACACUAAUUACUUUAUUCUGGCUAAGAAAAGUGGCUCUCCAGCUGGACAUAAGGCUAUAUUACUUUAUAUUUUCAGGAAGAUACCACAAAACAAUGUAAAAAUAAAAUAU